rnacentral:rRNA from 1 species
UGGGGAAUAUUGGACAAUGGGCGAAAGCCUGAUCCAGCCAUGCCGCGUGUGUGAAGAAGGUCUUCGGAUUGUAAAGCACUUUAAGUUGGGAGGAAGGGCAGUAAGCGAAUACCUUGCUGUUUUGACGUUACCGACAGAAUAAGCACCGGCUAACUCUGUGCCAGCAGCCGCGGUAAUACAGAGGGUGCAAGCGUUAAUCGGAAUUACUGGGCGUAAAGCGCGCGUAGGUGGUUCGUUAAGUUGAAUGUGAAAGCCCCGGGCUCAACCUGGGAACUGCAUCCAAACCUGGCGAGCUAGAGUAGGGCAGAGGGUGGUGGAAUUUCCUGUGUAGCGGUGAAAUGCGUAGAUAUAGGAAGGAACACCAGUGGCGAAGGCGACCAACUGGGCUCAUACUGACACUGAGGUGCGAAAGCGUGGGGAGCAAACAGG